GAGUUUGAUCCUGGCUCAGGACGAACGCUGGCGGCGUGCUUAACACAUGCAAGUCGAACGAUGAAGCUGGAGCUUGCUCCGGUGGAUUAGUGGCGAACGGGUGAGUAACACGUGAGCAACCUGCCCUUCACUCUGGGAUAACUGCGGGAAACUGUAGCUAAUACCGGAUAUUAGGAUCCGAGGCAUCUCGGAUCUUGGAAAGAAUUUCGGUGAAGGAUGGGCUCGCGGCCUAUCAGCUUGUUGGUGAGGUAAAGGCUCACCAAGGCGACGACGGGUAGCCGGCCUGAGAGGGUGACCGGCCACACUGGAACUGAGACACGGUCCAGACUCCUACGGGAGGCAGCAGUGGGGAAUAUUGCACAAUGGGCGCAAGCCUGAUGCAGCAACGCCGCGUGAGGGAUGAAGGCCUUCGGGUUGUAAACCUCUUUUAGCAGGGAAGAAGCGAAAGUGACGGUACCUGCAGAAAAAGCACCGGCUAACUACGUGCCAGCAGCCGCGGUAAUACGUAGGGUGCAAGCGUUGUCCGGAAUUAUUGGGCGUAAAGAGCUCGUAGGCGGUUUGUCGCGUCUGCUGUGAAAACUGGAAGCUCAACUUCCAGCCUGCAGUGGGUACGGGCAGACUAGAGUGCGGUAGGGGAGAACGGAAUUCCUGGUGUAGCGGUGGAAUGCGCAGAUAUCAGGAGGAACACCGAUGGCGAAGGCAGUUCUCUGGGCCGUUACUGACGCUGANGAGCGAAAGCGUGGGGGAGCGAACAGGAUUAGAUACCCUGGUAGUCCACGCCGUANACGGUGGGUGCUAGCUGUGGGCCACAUUUNNACGUGGUCCGUGACGAAGUUAACACAUUAAGCACCCCGNNUGGGNNNGUACNGNNGCAAGGCUAAAAACUCAAAGGAANUUGACGGGGGGNNCNGCACAAGCGGCNGNAGCAUGCNGNAUU
rnacentral:rRNA from 1 species